rfam:Triticum urartu cultivar G1812 contig592803, whole genome shotgun sequence.
CACCUACUCCCUCCGUUCGGAAUUAUUUGUCGCAGAAAUGGAUAUAUCUAGACGUAUUUUAGUUCUAGAUACAUCCAUUUUCGAGACAAGUAAUUAGAUACAUCCAUUUUCGAGACAAGUAAUUCCGAACGGAGGGAGUAGGUG